rnacentral:rRNA from 1 species
GGGUUGUGAGGUUAAGCGAAUAAGCGUACACGGUGGAUGCCUAGGCAGUCAGAGGCGAUGAAGGACGUGCUAAUCUGCGAUAAGCGUCGGUAAGGUGAUAUGAACCGUUAUAGCCGACGAUUU